rnacentral:rRNA from 1 species
AAUCAACGCUGGCGGCGCGCUUAACACAUGCAAGUCGAGCGAGAAAGGGGAGCAAUCCCUGAGUACAGCGGCGUACGGGUGAGUAACACGUGGGUGAUCUACCUUCUAGUGUGGAAUAACCCUGGGAAACCGGGGCUAAUACCGCAUAAGCCUGUGAAGGGAAAGCAGCAAUGCGCUGGAAGAGGAGCCCGCGGCCGAUUAGCUAGUUGGUGAGGUAACGGCCCACCAAGGCGAUGAUCGGUAGCCGGCCUGAGAGGGCACACGGCCACACUGGCACUGAAACACGGGCCAGACUCCUACGGGAGGCAGCAGUGGGGAAUCUUGCACAAUGGAGGCAACUCUGAUGCAGCGACGCCGCGUGAGCGAUGAAGCCCUUCGGGGUGUAAAGCUCUUUCGGCAGGGACGAUAAUGACGGUACCUGAAGAAGAAGCUGCGGCUAACUACGUGCCA